rnacentral:rRNA from 1 species
GACGAACCGUGCGAACGUUAUUCGGAAUCACUGGGCUUAAAGCGCGUGUAGGCGGGCCGGCACGUCGGUCGCUGAAAUCCCCCGGCUCAACCGGGGAAGGGGCGCCGAUACGACCGGCCUGGAGGGGCGUAGGGGGACCUGGAACUUCCGGUGGAGCGGUGAAAUGCGUUGAGAUCGGAAGGAACGCCCGUGGCGAAAGCGAGGUCCUGGACGCCUGCUGACGCUGAGACGCGAAAAGCCAGGGGAGCGAACGGGG